rnacentral:tRNA from 1 species
GCACAGUAUGUAUUUUUUGCAAAGUUGAGACAGGACUGAAAAUCCUCGUGUCACCGGUUCAAGUCCGGUUCCUGGCA